rnacentral:ncRNA from 1 species
UAAUAGAAAAACAAUCUAAAGAGUUCAAAUAUAGUGAAUUAAUAUUAAAAUAUAAAAAUAACUUUACUUUAAAAACAUCUAUCAUUAUAAAACAUAAAAGAAUAAUUAAUAAAAUAAUCAAUUAACUUAAGUGCCAGCAAUUGCGGUUAUACUUACAAUCAAAUUAUAUUUAAAAUAAUUAAAAUUAACAAAAUAAAUAUUUUAAUUAACCUAAAGUAAAAUUUCAUUAAAUAAAUAUUAAAAUUUUUUCAAUAAUAAAAACUUUAAACUUAAAAUAGGAUUAGAUACCCUAGUAUAUUAAAAAAUAUAAGGUAGUAAAAAAUUAUUUUAAAACCUAUUUAUAAUGGCGGCAUUUCAUCUUAUUAGAGGAACCUGUUUUUUAAUCGAUAAUCCACGUUAAUUUUCACUUCAAUUAAAAAUCUAUAUACCGCCAUUUAAAACUAAUUUAAUGAUAAUAUUUCCAAUAAAAAAUAAAAAAUUAGGUCAAGGUGUAAUUUAUAUUAAAGUCAAUAAUGGGUUACAUUAAAAUUAAUUUAAGGAUAAUUUUAUAAAAACAUUUUUCGAAAAAGGAUUUAAAAGUAAUAACAAAAUAAUAUUUUAUUAUGAUAUAGAUAAUAAAUGUGCACAUAUCGCCCGUCACCCUUAUCAAAAGGUAAGGUAAGUCGUAACAUAGUUGAUAUUUUGGAAAAAGUAUCAAGAUCAAAUA